rnacentral:rRNA from 1 species
UGUCUUUUUGAGAAUAAUUUAAAGUCUAAUCUGCCCACUGAUUAAUAUUGAAGGGCUGCAGUAUAUUGACUGUACAAAGGUAGCAUAAUCAUUAGUCAUUUAAUUGAUGACUUGUAUGAAAGAUUGGAUGAGAUAUAAACUGUCUUUUAUUUAUUUAUAAAAUUUAAUUUUUUUAUUAAAAAGUUAAAAUAAUUUAAAAAGACGAGAAGACCCUAUAGAGUUUUAUAAAUAUAUUAAAUUAAGAUUAUAAUGUAAUAUAAAUUUAAAAUUUAAUUUUUUUUUUUAUUGGGGUGAUAAAAAAAUAUAAAAAACUUUUUUUAUGGUUAAAACAUUGAUAAAUGAUUAUAUGAUCCAAUAAUAUUGAUUAUAAGAAAAAAUUACCUUAGGGAUAACAGCGUAAUUUUUUUUUUUAGUUCGAAUAAAAAAAAAAGUUUGCGACCUCGAUGUUGGAUUAAGAUAAAGUUUAAAUGUAGAAG